UCCAUAUACAUUCAUGGGAGCUCCUCCCUAAGCCUUCUCUCCUCUGAUUAAACCCAGCACACAAGUCUUCUUUUUCAGAAAUGCAUCUGUGGCAGCCUGCAAUCAUUUAUUCUGUUAUUUUUGGAUUUUCCAAGGCUGAUAAAGUCUCCCAGCAUCCCUUUGUGUCAGUUCAGUGUGGGGAAAAGGUCACUUUAAACUGUACAUAUGAAACAUCAAGUACCAACCCAUACCUGCACUGGUAUAUCCAACGGCCGGGAGUGAGACCUCACUUUAUCCUACUCAGGGAUCAGUUCAGCAAGGAAGAGGAUGAACCUGGGGGAAAGUAUUCAUCAAAACUAAACAAAGAGCGCAAUUCUGUUGACCUGAGGAUCUCUGGUGUCAGUGUGUCUGACUCUGGGCUGUAUUAUUGUGCUGUGAGUGCCACAGUGUCUCUUUCUGCUGCCUCCUCUGUACAAGAAGCUCUGGUGCUCUCUGUGGUGCUGCUAUAAAUUACUCUAUAUAUGUAUGUGUCUAUGCAGCACUUAAUGGAAUGCAAAUCAUGAGACAUAGUUUUAACCAUAGCGUCUAUGGUUUUUGUCCCUCAAUAGCAGGACAUCUUUUGUGAAACAAUCAGAGGAAAGUUUAAAAAAAAUUAAUUAGUAAAUAGCUUGAAACAUACAUGUUCUAAAGAAACAGGUGAUGCAUGACAAGAUUUUAUAACAGCAUAAUGCUCUUCAUUGUUCAUACAUAUAGAGCAAUAAAAACUGACAAAAUCCACUC